AAGCUCCGCAGACUGGAGGCCCCCAGGCUGGCUGGUCAAGCACCUCUUCGAAAGGCUCACCCUCAAGCACAACUAGGAGG
rnacentral:pre_miRNA from 1 species